AGAGAGAGAGAGAGUUAUCCUUCUAUUAGAGGGAAGAAGAAGGGAUAAAAUUAUCCUUUUUAGAGAGAAAAAGAAGAUGAAAAAGAUUCAGGGCUCCACAUCUUAAGCUUUUUCUUUGUUGAGAGAUAAAGAGAGAACCUUUUCUCUUAGAGUGAGGAAGCCUCUAGGGAAAAAAAAAGAAGUCUUUGAGAGAGAGAAGAACCUCAGAGACGGAAAACAUAAAAAGAAAAAAUCUCUAGAAGAAAUCAGUGAUCUCAAGAAAAUCUAUUUCUUAAAAGACUAUUGUAAUCGUUAAGUUAGUAGUGGAUUCGUCUCUUUCUCCUAUAUAUGUAUUCUAAAAAUGUGAACCACCAUCCGCAGUUAUGCAAGAUGGCUCUAAUUGGGUAACCCAACACUAUGUACUAAAUUUCUAUAUAUAUAUUAUGUAUCCCCAUCUAUAAUUACAUGGGUCUGAUUUACUGUCUCACAUCCACGGUGCGAAGACACCAGAAAUGAUCCCAUUUUUUAUUAAAAGCUAAGGUUCACAAAAUGUGGUGCAAUGGGCAAGAUUUGAUACCUCAACCUUUUUAAGAGGCUCAUAUCGUUUUAUCAAUAUGCUACUUGAGUACUCGUGUUAAAAAUAUGCAUCUUAUUAUAUGUGCCUUCUUCCUUUUGUUAUUCCUUUUCCUUUUUUAACAUGACAUGAAGUCGGCCGAGUUAGUCGGACUCGGCCAAAUAAUGCACUUUGGCCAAGGUCUGAGUACAUUGGCCAAGUCGAUUGUCUAUGCACUGCACCUCUGUUUUUAGAGAACAUGAACAAGAUUGAUGUCUCUAACAUUAAACCAGGUUCCCUCAUUUAUGUGAUGUUAGGGAUUUUGAUCCGCCCAUUUCUCAUUCCUGUUUUUUAUGCAAAGCUCCCUCUCUCCCCAAGCCCAUCUCUCUCUCUCGAAACCUUAUUUGGUCUAAGAAAAGGGCAACAGAGACGAAACUUGACUCUAUUAUUUCUCAAGUUGGAUUUGUUAUCUACAAAAAUUCGUUAACUUCAUUUGCUUUAGUGAUUUUCUCUGCUGAUUUGGAGUUUUUAGUACAUUUCUCACAUAUCUAAUACUUUAUGAGAUUUUUGUGUUUUCUCCUUGAUUUUUAGCGUUUUGAUGCUAAAAGUCUCAUUCAUAUGUAUUGCUUUGUGACUUCGUUGUGCUACAUUCAUGUGUUGUUGAUUCAUCCUCGUAUGUUAAAGAUUAAGUGUGAAUGCUAGCGCACACUUCAUAGUAUAUUCUUUAUAAAGUAUUCAAGACCAUUUAGAUUAAGGGGGAAGGCAUCUCAAUACAUUGGAUGUGAAAUUGGACAGGUUGUGUACGAAUUGAGAGAAAAUGCUUCCUUGGAGUUUUUUGAAAAUUCAAAUAGUGGGAUUUCACAUACAAGGGCUCAUGAUAUUUUUUAUCUUUUUGAAUCAAAUGUAAAUGGUCUUAUUGUACAUACCAUAAAAAUCCAAUAUUAUUUGUUUUCAUGAUGGGCAUUUUAUUCAUUGUAAAAUAGCAAGGUUAAGUGGUAUUUUUGAAACUUUUCCUACUAAGGCAGUGAGAAAAUGAGUAAGAGCCUGACAUUAACCACCAUUGUAGUUCUUACAACAAUCUUGAACUAUCUCAUGAAUCCUCUUUGAACUAUCUCACAUAUUCUUCAACAAAUUCACCUAAGCUAACAUUCAUUGAUAAAAAAAGGGGAAAAAAAAAUAAGGAAAAAGAAAACUGCACAACUUGAACCAUCUCAAAGGGACUUACAGUUAAAAAUCACCCAUCUUCUUAUUGUGUUCAUCAUAGAAUGACAAGAUUAUUGAAUUUCUUGUAGUACUUGACACAAAUUUUGGUGAGCCUGGCUAGCGACAAGGUAAUCGAGGAAAACAAAGAAGAGGACCUGCACUGGUCGUGAGAGACGGCACCAACAUGCCAUGGGCAGCUGUGAAUGUCUGUGAACGCCCAUAACCUGGUGCAAUGCUUCCCCAUCCUGACUGCACAAAAUAUGCACCAUUCAUGAAUACAUCGUUAUAAGACCUCCAUUUCCAACUCUUCCAACCACUGCUUUCUCUCUUGGUCACCUACAAAAGAGGAUUGUUAAUAACCAAAAACAUUUUUGGGUGAUAACAAUCAUCUAAUAUUUUUGAUUGAUUGAUUAUCUUUUGAUUAGUUUUUCCUUUUCAAAUAAAGAAAUUUGUAUACUUAACUUUUCAACAGUUUAACAAUUUAUCCUUUUUCAACUAUUCCAACCCACGAUCAUGUCUAUUUUGAUAGAAAACACAUGAUUCUAAUACUAAAUAGUAGAUUUCUUUUGAUAAAUUUUCUUUUCAAAUAGCUGAUAUCAUUAACUCUUUUAGGCCAUUCAUCUUUAGGAAACAGGUUUUACUUCACCGAGAGCACUUUUUUUGUUUUUUUAUAUAAAUAUCACCACUGGAAAAUGAUUGUGUUCCAUAAUAAGUCAAAGGGACUCAUGCUAGCCCUAAAGGCGCCAGAGGUCAUUCUCACCCAAGUAAAUUGUCUUACGAAUUCCGAAAAAAAUUUUUCCAUCGCCAGGAGAAUGAUACCAAUUCGAGGAAAUUGGUAAUUAGUGUUAGCAGCUGGGAAAGCCUUGUCCUAGACUUUCCUCUAUGUCCAAUACCAUUAACUCUUUUAUGCAAAUCAUCUUUAAGAGGGAGGUUUUUCCAUCACCAAGAGCACUCUUUUUUUCUUCCCCUUCCAUCACCAAGACUGCACUGCCCUAGUGUAACAGCUGGAAAAGCACUAUCCUAGUCUUUCCCGACUCAAUAUAUUUUUGGCGGAAAGCUGAUUCAUAUCUUUUUUGAUGUAAAAGCACUUUCCCAAGCUAAUGAGAAAGCUCUUUUCAAGAAGGACUUCUCCGAAGGCCAUGAAAAGCACUCCAAAAAAAUAAACAUGCCUUAAAUGUUUUCAACAAAUUUUUUUUUUUUUUUUAAUAUUUGAGAAUGAAGUGUAGUUAGCAAGUUGGGACACUGAUGAACCAAAACAUCGGCUACAAAUCGAUUUUAUUUUAAAAAGUCGUAGUGAAAGAUCGGGUAAAAACUACGGAUCGCCAAAAUAUAAGGUAAGCUAUAGAAUCAUGAAUAUUUUGGAUUUGGUUCAAAAAAAUGUAGUGAAAAAAAUCGGAUAUGUAAAGAUGAUACAAUGUAGGAUUAUGAUUUGUAGCUAUUGUAUAGAUAUCCUAAAACCACUAAACAAUACUUUUAUAGCCUUACUAGUGCCAUUAGAAUGAUACUUAACAAGUUUUGUUAAAACUUUAAAUAAAUCUAACAACAAUGCUUACUUUGUUUUCACAUCACAAAACAUAUCGUAGAUUUAUUGCGAGCACAAAAUGAAAUAACAACAACAAUAUUAAACACAAGACCUAAUUAGUAAAUAACAAGAAUUGUGAACUAAAAGUAUAGGAUUAUUUCUCAAAAAAAAUAUACAUAUAAAAAAAGCCUUCAAAUUAGGAUUGCAGCUAAUUAAAAAAAACACGCAAAGACCCAAUAUGUAAAAUAGUGAUCCAUCUAAAUGCUAUGUUGUAUACACCAAUUAAAUACAAAAAUAAAAAUAAAAAUAUAAAGUUAAUCAAACUUCUUUGUGCAUAAAAGACAACAAAAUGCUCAAAAACAUUUGAAUCUCGCACUGAGUAGCUACCUAGAUCUUUAAUAUCAUUAAAUCUCUCUCUUUCUCUUGACAAGGACGCUAUUGGUUUAAGAACAAAAAAUAGAUUUUUCAUUAGGUUGCUCUUCUUCUGAUUCUGCCUAUUAUUUUAAGAUAUAUGAUUGUUUUAAUUACUUGUUUUUGAGAAAUAUAUUGCUUGUAUUUUUUCAUACACUUGUUUUUAGUUAACUCAUUGGUGAAAUUUUUUAUGGAAUUUUUUGUUAAAUAAAAAAUAUUAAUUUACACCUAUUGUUAAAGUAUUUAUCUUUAAAUCAAAUUUCAAUAAUAUUAAGUUGGUGAUGAAAUAAAGCAAUGGAGAAAAAGUUAUUUUGUAAAGCUUUUUUGAAAAAAGAUAAAAUAUGGAUUUAAAUUGGUUUCAUUAAAAAAUCGUGAUUUUUUGAAGAUCUUUUGAAAAAAUUGGAGUUCUAAAUGUACUUAAGAAAAAUAAAAGAUUUUUUGAAAAAAUCAUGUUUCAAUCGGAGACUUGCUAAGUAUGUAUGGUUAAGACAACCGCCGCUAUAAGGUGUUAAUGCAUGCCAUACCAUUCCUUAUUGAUGUCUCAUUUGCAACUUACUUGUUUGAGGUCAACAUUGUUGGGAGCAAUGAAGUAAUUCCCCUCGCUUAGAAUGGUAGGGUUUGCACUCCCUCCAAUUGCGUACAUCUCCCAUGUUUCAUACAUGUUGUUUGCAACAUGCACGUAACCAAGUCUCACCCUGCAACCCACCACCAAUCAUCCUUUAAUAUUCAUAUUCAUUCAAGCAAAAAUUACUGGAAUCUUUAAAAUAAUGAAGUGUAAAGAAGAAGAAGAAUCAUUAAAAUAAUGAAGUGUAAAGAAGAAGAAGAAUCAUUAAAAUAAUGAAGUGUAAAGAAGAAUCUUUAAAAUAAUGAAGUGUAAAAUAGGAGGAGGAGAAGGAGGAGAGAAGGAGAAGGAGAAGGAGGAGGAGGAGGAGCGAUCUUAUGUGCCUAAAAGAAAUAAUAUCCCAAGAUUUAGCUAGGAUUGAAAGAUCUAAGUGUUGAAGAACUCAAAUCCAAAUGGUUUUCAAAAAAGUCAAUUAUAUAGUGACUCUCUAGUGGUUCAUAAAUUUUUAGAUAGAAAAAAUUCCUCCCAAGUUGCACUUUUCACGAAGGAGUAAAUGUGCAGCAUACUCCUACAACAGCAUACCAUAACAUGAAUCCUCUCCACUUUUGCACUAUCAAAUGGUCUUCGCUCCCUUUCGUGAACAUUGCGAAAUUCCGUUUCAGCAUAACAUCGACCAUUGGUUGCCCCGAAAAGAUUAUGUAGAACACUUCGGAUUGCAUUCCUAAUCCCAUUCAAAAACGUGCGUUAUCAAUUGACUGUUGUUGUUAUUGCUAGCGAAUGUUAUCAAAUUCGACCAACAAUUGAGCAUGUUUGGGUCUAGUGAAUAUUGGUCUGAUUAUAAUUCUAAUCAGUUGGGCAGAUUUUAAAAAUAUAAUAUAUAUAUAUAUAUAUAUAUAUAUAUAUAUAGUUNNNNNNNNNNNNNNNNNNNNNNNNNNNNNNNNNNNNNNNNNNNNNNNNNNNNNNNNNNNNNNNNNNNNNNNNNNNNNNNNNNNNNNNNNNNNNNNNNNNNNNNNNNNNNNNNNNNNNNNNNNNNNNNNNNNNNNNNNNNNNNNNNNNNNNNNNNNNNNNNNNNNNNNNNNNNNNNNNNNNNNNNNNNNNNNNNNNNNNNNNNNNNNNNNNNNNNNNNNNNNNNNNNNNNNNNNNNNNNNNNNNNNNNNNNNNNNNNNNNNNNNNNNNNNNNNNNNNNNNNNNNNNNNNNNNNNNNNNNNNNNNNNNNNNNNNNNNNNNNNNNNNNNNNNNNNNNNNNNNNNNNNNNNNNNNNNNNNNNNNNNNNNNNNNNNNNNNNNNNNNNNNNNNNNNNNNNNNNNNNNNNNNNNNNNNNNNNNNNNNNNNNNNNNNNNNNNNNNNNNNNNNNNNNNNNNNNNNNNNNNNNNNNNNNNNNNNNNNNNNNNNNNNNNNNNNNNNNNNNNNNNNNNNNNNNNNNNNNNNNNNNNNNNNNNNNNNNNNNNNNNNNNNNNNNNNNNNNNNNNNNNNNNNNNNNNNNNNNNNNNNNNNNNNNNNNNNNNNNNNNNNNNNNNNNNNNNNNNNNNNNNNNNNNNNNNNNNNNNNNNNNNNNNNNNNNNNNNNNNNNNNNNNNNNNNNNNNNNNNNNNNNNNNNNNNNNNNNNNNNNNNNNNNNNNNNNNNNNNNNNNNNNNNNNNNNNNNNNNNNNNNNNNNNNNNNNNNNNNNNNNNNNNNNNNNNNNNNNNNNNNNNNNNNNNNNNNNNNNNNNNNNNNNNNNNNNNNNNNNNNNNNNNNNNNNNNNNNNNNNNNNNNNNNNNNNNNNNNNNNNNNNNNNNNNNNNNNNNNNNNNNNNNNNNNNNNNNNNNNNNNNNNNNNNNNNNNNNNNNNNNNNNNNNNNNNNNNNNNNNNNNNNNNNNNNNNNNNNNNNNNNNNNNNNNNNNNNNNNNNNNNNNNNNNNNNNNNNNNNNNNNNNNNNNNNNNNNNNNNNNNNNNNNNNNNNNNNNNNNNNNNNNNNNNNNNNNNNNNNNNNAAUCACACCCGACUAUUGGAUGUGGAAUUGGAUGGCCAUAGAUGUGCCAUCGGUUUCAAAUUCUCAAAAAGGAUUUAUAAGACCUAUGUAAUACACCCCCAACGAUAAUGUUUUACAUAUGACGGCUAGGGGUGAUUUUAACAUUGUAAGAAAGGUAAGUGUUCUUACAGUACUUAGUCCCCUAAAAAUUUUAAAAAAUAAGAAUAAUAAUUUAAAAUAGGGUGUGGUUUCUAUAAGGUUGCAAUCUUAAACAAUGCAAUUCAGGAGCACCUCUAAAUUUUAUCAUAACAUGUAAUUUUGGUAAAACAACUCUUAAUAUCAUCUCAAAAUCUAUUUUCAUAUCUAAUUCUAAAAUUUUAAACUCCAAAAAUGGUUAAAAUCAAGUAGACCUAUAAACAUAUGAAAAUAUUGAAAAUGGACAGUCUCGAUGCACUAUUCUUAAGGCUCAAAAUUGUUUUUUUUUUUUUUCAUAUUUAUACAUCUCGAUGUCGAGAUGAUCAAUUAGAAGUUUUUCCAACAUUAAAACAACCUUUUUUGAGGGAUUUUUGAGGUGCAUCUGUAAUUCUACAUUUAAGGUUGCAACCUUAUUUAAACUUUCCCCUUUAAAAUGUUGAAUAUAUCAAUAAGAUAAAUAAUUUUGUUUAGCCGGUCUAACUGAUCGGUUCGAUGAGCUAAAAUUAAUUAAAUUUUAAUUUUAACUAGUUAAUGACUGAACUCAAUUCUUAUCAUGGACCAAAGUGGGCCAGGAACAAAUUGGCUGUUUGGGCAAUGAACAAAUUGGUUGUUUGACCGGGCAAAUUGCGUGUCCAAUCUUUAUAACUAUGCUGCAAACCAUAUUUGUCAAAAAAAAAAAAAAAAAAAACUAUGUUGCAAACCAUUAAAGAGAGAACUGUGAGCAACCUUUUUGUACGUACUUUUAAUAUGAAUGGAUGAUGUCAAUAUUCUUUUUUUAUGAGGUAAAGACCCCAUGCAUCAUAAUGUUUGAGCUUAAGGCAUAUUCACAAGGCAUUCGCCCCUCAACAAAGUUAACAAUUACCUGGGCAUCCUUUGCACCAAAUUAGCGCCCAAGCGAUUGAAUACGACCGUUACUUUCAUCUAUUUAUCGGCCUUGAAAGAAUCAUCAUGACCGAAUAGCAUCACCUGCAAAAAUCACGACUCACGCAAUUAAGAUUUUUCACAAUAUGCUGAAAUAUUCGACCAUGUACUGAGUGCCCAAGUAGCUAAUAAAUCCAUAUUAUUCUUAAAUGAGCAAAUUUUCUAUGCAGCCAGCCCGCAUAUUGUAGAAAUGCGGGUUUGGCAAUAAAUAUAUUUUUAAGUAUAAUUUAAUCCUAAUUUUUAGAGAAUCUAUAAUUUUUUAGAGAUCAUGAAUAUGAUUUUUUUUUUCAAAAACUAGAAUUAAUAAUUAUAUUAAGAAGAAAAUUUGACCGUUAGUUACACUUGAUUUUAGAUGGACCACCUAUUUGCAUCCAUCUUUAAGAUGGAUGCUUUAGACCUUUGGACCACAUAUUGGAGAACUGUUGUCCAACCCGCGUAAAAACAUUUUCCUUUAAGAAUACAAAGUAGUUGCCUCACUGGCAAAAAUAAAAAAAAUGGUUUUCUUGGUCUCUUGCAUGAUUAAUAAAGAGAGUCAAAAUAAUUCACUGUAUUUUUACGGUUGGCAAUGGGCUAGGUGGCAAGCCUCAGAGAAGCCUGGCCCUAAAAAAUUAGGGACUGGGCCCCAAAAUAUCGCUUGAGAGCCAGGUUGAGCUUGGACUAGGCCAGGGCUAAGAUGAGACUUGCUCUGUUUAGCCUAGCCCGGCCCUUUAUCUUUAAAUUUUCUUGUUUAUUUUCAUUUUCCAUUUGGCCUGGCCUGGAUAAGGUUUUGGCCAAGCCUUGGCCAGGAACUUUUUGGUAAUGUUAGGGCCGGGUGGCUAGGCUUGGUGUCAACCUGGUCCUAAAACAUUAGGGACUGAGCUAGGGCCAAAAUAAGGCUGGUUUCUUUAUAAUUUUCUUUUAUUUUACAAUUUUUUUUCCAUUUGGCCUAGCCCAGAUAGGAUCAGGCGCAGGCCUUGGCCAAGGCCUAUUUGGCCAUGUUAGGGUCGAGGCAGUCCUAUGGGGAUCAAUGUGGGACUAGGGCCUAGGCCCAAUCCUUUGCCAGCCCUAUAAAUUUCCCAUAGGGUAUAUCAAAAUGGUGCAACAAACAAAAGUAUUCUUAUCUUUCUAAAAUAUGCAUUGAAGCAGUGAUGUCUACCUCAAAUACUAUCCAUAUUGUACAUAAUAUGACCAUUACUUUUUUUUUAGUACGAGGAAGCCACAAUCACCAUUAACCAUGGGUUGAUAAUCUGAUAGCUUAAAGUAUUUCAUAUAGCUCAAUAAAUCUUAUCGUGGACGUUGGGCCCACUCAAUGAUGUGCUCCCAACCAUCCAAUUUUACCUAUAGUGAUUGCAGCUUCCUUCUAACAAAAACUAAAGGGUGCAGUUGGCAUACGGAUGCAUCCGUAGCUGUAGAGGUAAGGUGCAUGUUCAAAUUUUAUCAUGGUAUAUAAUUUGAUGUAAAAUAUUCUUAGGAUUAUCUCAAGAUAUAUUUUUACAUCUAAUUAUAAAAUUUUAAAUAUAAAAAAUUGUUAAAAUUAAGUAGAUCUAUAAACAUAUAAAAAUCUUGAAAAUGGACGGUGUAUAUAAUAUGUUGUAAAAUGCCCUAUUUCUGAGACUUAAAAUCUUUUUAUUUUUCAUGGUCAUACAUCUCGAUGUUGAGAUGAUCAAUCAAAGGGUUUUUCAAUAUUAAAACUACAUUUUUCGAUGCAUUUUUUAGGUGCAUCCGUAGUUCUUCGUUACAAGGUUGCAUCCUUAUAUAAACUUUUUCCGAAACUAAAUGGUCUUAUUAUAUAGGUUUCAAAAACUAUAACGGGGCCUUUUCAUUUCGAAAGAGGUACCAUAAAUAUUUCUUCAUUUUCAACCAGAUAUGUGCCUACCAUCGCCUAAUUGUUGCAUAAAAUUAAGAAUAAGAAAGGUUACCUAGAGUCAAGACCUUGUCAUGAUCGGAGAAGUAGCAAUUUGAUAUGGUGAUGGAAGUGGAAGCAUGGAUAACGUCGAUGAGGCCAUCGUAUGCGUGAGAAAGAGAGCAGUGAUCGAUCCAAACAUGGGAUGAAGCAAACACGGCUAUUGCAUCACCGUCGGAGCCACCUCUGUGACCCACAUGCGUUGGAGUGCUACGCACGAGCCCUUGGGUGCCAGGUUUACAGUGAUGCAACCUAAAGCCAAGGAUGAUCACAUGGCUAACACCUUGGAUGGUGAUGCAGGGACCAUAUGCAAUGUCGACGCUUGCUCCACGCCCAUCAAUGGUCUUAUUACUGUUCACGAUGAGCUCAUUCUCAAGUGUGAUGACCAUGUCAUGACCAAAUAUUAUCCACAAAGGUUCAGUUUGGAUGACACCGUAGCGCAGCGUGCCGGGCUUGGGGUUGACAGGGUCAUCAGAGGGGUUGGUCACAGUAUAUAUACGGCCAUUGCGGCCUCCAAAUGUGCCACUACCGAAGCCUAUGCUGCAGUCAGCAAGGGCUCGACGGAGGAUAGCCCAAUUAGGGUCAGCACGCUAGCAACUGUCGAUCUCAUUGAGAAGUGAUUGGGGUUUAGUAGGGUUCCCAUAGUAGUAUCCAUUAGAGACAGCAUGCUGUGACACAUUCUGCAGAUGGAGAGAUUGUGAAGGGAGAACGGAAAACAGCAGGCAUCCCAGGAUAAUGAGCAGAGAAGGUCCUGCCAUUGCCAUGGCCAUGGCCUUUUACUUUGAUACUGUGGGGCUUAUAUUGCCAUAGAAAGGCCUCUCAUGGGGUGGGGAAGUUGAUAAAAGUUUUGUCAUGGAAAACUAAGUCAAAUCUUGUUAAUGUGCAAUUAAAGUGUAGGUGGGUGGAUCGCAUGACCCUGGUUGGGACGUGGUUGCACGGCAGGUGUGGUUUCUCCUAAAACUUUUUGUUCUUGUAUUUUUUUUCUCUUUUCCUACCUAGAUUUUGUUCUUAAUACGCCUUCUUUCGUUAUUUCUCUCUCCUCAAAUCUAAAUCUAAAUAAUUCGUUGACCAUCACAUUGUCUCUUCCUUAACCGUUCAUUCUCUAUCUUUCCCUCUCUUAAAUACUCCCUUUCGUUUGUAGGGUUAACAGCCGGCCCCACCCAAGCCCUAGCCCUGCAAUUAUCCCUAUAUGGCACGCCCGCGCCCGACUCGAGAUUAAGCAGCCCUAGCUCUAGGUCGAUCUAACACAUUGAAAGGGAAAGAAAACAAAAAAAGGGAAAAAAAAUGUCAGGGCAAGCCGAGAGCCCAGACAAGGCCCGCGGGCCUCAUUUUGUAAUCUGGGCCAUCACCAUUGCCAGCCCAAUUCCUAUCUUUGCCAUAGUUAUCAAGACAAUUGCACUGACAGCUCUGACCGGUGCCUAGGUCAGUCUGGCCCAGACUCCUCAUUAGUUAUAUUGUUAAUCUAAUCCUAAUCAAGCCGAUUUUUACCGCAUCAAGAUCUAAAUUAUCUCCAAUCAUUUCAGUGGCCUUUUUUUUUCUGUUGUGAUUUUCGAAUCUCCGAUCACGAAGGAUUUAUAUCCUCAUAAGCUUUAUGGUAAAAGCCUAAGUUCGUAGUCCAUAUAACAUUAGAAAGAUUUGUUAUGGAAAAGGUUCCUUAUUCGUUUGUCUCUAGCUAUACAAGACAAAUAACCAUAGAAUUUCUUUGAUAAUAUAAAUGGGUAGUAAUCCAUUACAUACAAUCCGUUGUAGUUUAGUUGGUUAGGAUUCUCGAUUCUCACCCGAGAGACCUGGGUUCAGGUCCGGACAUACGAGAGAUUUUCUUUUGCUAAAAAGCAUACCCAAAAAAACAUGGCAUACCAAAGAAUUUUUUUUGUAAAAAGCAUACCAAAAAUAACAUGGCAUACCAAAGAUUUUUUUGUAAAAAGCAUACCUAAAAACAUGGCAUACCAAAGAUUUCUUUUGUAAAAAGCAAACAAAAAAAAACAUGGCAUACCAAAGAAUUUUUUUUGUAAAAAGCAUGCCAAAAAAAACAUGGCAUACCAAAGGUUUUUUUGUAAGAAGCAUACUAAAAAACAUGGCAUACCAAAGAUUUCUUUUUGUAAAAAGCAUACCAAAACAAACAUGGCAUACCAAAGAUUUUUUGUACAAAAAAAACCAGGCCUACCAAAAGAAAAAAAACCAUAAAAAGCAUCCCAAAAAAACAUGGCAUACCAAAGAUUGGUAAACCAAAAAGGUUGCUUAUUUACCUUAAUUCUCUCUUUGUGAACUUAAAGCAUACCAAAAAAAAACAUGGCAUACCAAAGAUUUUUUUUACAAUAAAACCAGGCAUACCAAAAAAAAAAACCAUAAAAAGCAUACCAAAAAACACAUGGCAAACCAAAGAUUGGUAAACCAAAAAGAUUGCUUAUUUAUCUUAAUUCUCUCUUUGGUACUUUUUUUAACUUUCUCUUACUGUGUCAGGAAUGGACUCAAGGCUAAGUUGUCUUAGUGGUGCUACAAUAUGAUUUCUUAAGUUUCAUUAUUAUCACGAUUAGCGAACCCCAUCUACUGAACUAGAAAAAAAAAAGUACUCUACUGCCUAGAAAUACAAAUUAUAGAGUGUGUGGUUUCUAUAAGAUUGCAACCUUAAAUAAUCCAAUUAAGGGGCACCUUCAAAUUUUAACAUAACAUAUAAUUUUGGUGUAAAAAUCGUUCGGAUUAUAACUCUAUUUACAUAUUUAAUUAUAAAAUUUUAUACUCCAAAAAUGGUUAAAAUCAAUUAAAUCUAUAAAUGUAUGAAAAUCUUGAAAAUAGAUAAAAUAGAUAAUGUAUUGCAAGAUGUAUUAUUUUUGGGAUUCAAAAAAAAAUAAUUGUAUUCAUACAUCUAGAUGUCGAGAUGAUCAAUUAGAGAGUUUUUCAACAUCAAAACAAUUUUUUCCAAUAGAUUUUUGAGGUGCAUCUUUAAUUCUACAUUUUAAGGUUGCAACUUCAUAAACUUUUUUCAAUUAUAAAAUACAAAUUAUGAUAAACACGGUCCUUUAAAAUAUUAUAUUUGCAAUGUUUGACAAAAUAUGGUACUUAGUUAGGUCAUGCAUAACAGGGAGAAGAUGUGCUCUAUAUUUGCAAUGUUUGACAAAAUAUGGUACUUAGUUAGGCCAUGCAUAACAGGGAGAAGAUGUGCUUUAUGCAAUUAUGAUUUGAUUUUUACAUUGAGAUAUGUAGCCAUUUCAAAUUUUUGAGAAUAAAAGUUUGCAGUUUAUAUAAGGUGUCAACCAUAAACUAUUUAUAUAAGGUGUCAACUAUAAACUAAGUAAAGCGCAUCUCUAAAUUGCUAAAUUGUGUUAGAAGAUAGAGUUUUGGUGUUAGAAACCCUUACAAUGGCCGAAAAAAUUAUUUUCACAACAAUGAAAUUUACGACAUUCUCGCAUGGGAAAUCGUGAUGGAUCUUUGCUUGCAUGUUCGAAUUUGAACAAUUGGAUAUAAUAAAGUUUAAAAUGGGACAGAGCUUGUCGUGGGAAGUACAUGAAGGGCUAUCAAAUUCAAACCAAGAUAUGAGCUUAUCAUAUGAUACUAAUCGAUGGGAGAUGAUUGACCGUGGUUAAAGAUUUAUAUAUAUGCUUCAUCAACUCUUAUUCUCAUCAUAAAUAUAUAUUUCCUAACACAUUUAUGGGAACCAAAUCUCUGCCGUUCACCCUUCAUCUUGGGUAGAGUCUAGAAAAUAUACCACUUUUUGUCUCUAAGGGCUUCACGAUAGUCACUCUCGCUCGAUCUCUCUCGCUAACUUUGCCGAUCUGUUCCAUAUAUCCUUAACACGUCAUCAAAAGGAGCUCAUCAACCACAAAAACAUGGGUGAGAUGCCCCCGAAGAUCAAAAGUUGAGGUCGAAAUUUUAGAAGGCAGCAUCACUUUCUCUCUCUAAACCCUAAAAUACAAGUCCAACCCAUAUCAGAUACGAUCAACCAAAUCUAUAUCUAAAGAGACGUCUUUUUCGUUCUUUUUCUCAUAAAAAAUCGUACUAGAAUUUAGAGAGAGACGUGCAGACAUACGAAGAGUUUCUUGCUUCAAAGGUGAGUUCUCUUUGGUUCUUUUUCAUCUUAAUUUUGUUUUUCUUAAUUGAGUUCAUCACCUUCUAAUCAGUCUUGUGGGUUUCUAUUUAUUCACUUUUCAUCAUAAUCGGUCUUGUGGUUCUACUGUUUUCUUGAAAUUGAAAACAAUAAUUAUAAUCUAUUUCUUUGAAGUUCUUGGUUGAAUUCUUGCGGUAAAUCUGAGAGAAUACAUUUGAAUUUCUUGAAUGUACCCCACGGUUCUACUGUUUUCUUUAAAUUGAAAAAGAAUAAUUAUAGUCUAUUUCUUUGAAUUUCUUGGUUGAAUCGUUGUGGUAAAUCUGAAAGAAUACAAUUGAAUUUCUUGAAUGUACCCCACUAUCAUCUUUGUCAAUUCUUUCGUUUGAAACUUCACAUGGUUUUCUUGCUUUUAAUUUUUUGCAUUUUUAUUCAGUUGAAAGCCUUAAAAGUUUUGAUGAAGUCCAUGCUUGGUUCUUUUAGAUUUGUUUUUCACAUCCAUUUGUUUCUACUCCAUGGUCCAUAUUUCUUGAAUUUUUCGUUGAAUUUUCCAUUAGAACCUUGAGAUGUUUUAGUUUAUUCUCUUCUUUUUUUUACCUUGUUUUUUAUUUUUAUUUAUUUUUUGAUAGAAGUGAGACUCACAUAAUUUGAUCAUUUUUUUAAUUUAGAAGCUUUUUUUUUUUUUCUCCAUUGUUUUGUGGUAAAAAUAUGAAUAUGUUGAAACCGAGGAAGUUUGCGACUUUAAUUUGCUUAUUGUACAAAUUUGCUUCUUCAAUUGGGUUGCUUGAAUACGCUCAUGAGAAUCGUUAAGAUAGUAAGAUAUCCAACGGAAAAAGUUUGUUUUAAUUUUGAAAAACCUUCUAAUUGAUAAUCUCGACAUGAGCGAUUAUGAAAAAAAAAACAGAUUUUGAGUCUUAAAAUCGUGCGUCUUGCAACACAUUAUCUAGCCUGUCCAUUUUAAGAUUUUCAUAUGUUUAUAGAUCUACAUGAUUUUAAUCAUUUAUGGAAUUUAAAGUUUUACAAUUAAAUGUGAAAAUAGAUUUUCAGAUAAUCUUAAAAAUUUUUUAAACCAAAAUUACAAGUUAUGAUAAAAUUUGGCGGUGCGCCUUAAUUGGAUUGUUUAAGAAUGCAAGAAACACACCCAUUCUAGAUAAACCAAGGAAUCACGAUUUUAUCCCAAAAAAUACUCCAUAAUUAAUACAUAAAUAUUUUCUUUUUCACGAAAAUAAUACUGAUGUGGCAUCACCUUCUCUCUCCAAAACUCUCUCUCAACUUAUACGAGCUAUCUCUAUCUCUAAACCUCUCUCCUAUUUUUUUCAUUGUUACUCUCCUUUCUUGGUUCUUUCUCUCUCUAAAUUCUUUCUCUCCCCAAAUCUCGUGUUCCUUUCUUGGUUCUUUCUCUCUCUAAAAUCUUUCUCAAUCUAAAUCUUUCGCUCUAUCUGCAUUUUUAAUCUCUCUCUCUAAAUCCUUCUAUUUGCGUUCUUUUCUUGGUUAUUUCUCUCUCUAAAAUCUCUCUCUCUCUAAAUCUUUCUCUCUUUCUGCCUUUGUCUUAGGUCAUCAGUUUGACGAGUGAGGUGAGGAUGCGCAGGGGAAUUGGAGAACGAGGUACGCUUUCUUUCUCUCUCUAAGAUUUUGAAUAACAUUAACCAAGUUGAACUGCUGUCUCUCUAUAAGGAAGAGUUAGUUAUAUGCAAAUUUUGAAAACCACGAAGUUUUUUAUUUCCCUGUUGAAUUCUUUUAUAUCCCUGUUGAGGGCUUGAGUAAGUUAUCUGCAAAUUUUUGAAAACCAUGAAUUUUUUAUUUCCCUGUUGAACAUUUUUAUAUACCUGUUGAAGCCUUCUAUACUGAUAUAAAAAUGCUCUCUUAGGUAAUUUAAGAAUAUAUUCACUGUUAUACAAAAAAAAGCUAUUUAUUACAAAUGCUCUCUGUUGAUGAGAUAUUAAACAGAACGUCAGGAACGAAGAAAAUAUAUCAUUCAAAAUUUUCAGAGUUUCGAAGAAUGUGUUCUAAUAAUAAAAGUUAAAUUUUUGAAAACCAUGUAAGUUUUUUUAUUUCCCUAUUGAAUUUUUAAUAUCCAUGUUGAAACCUUCUGUACUGACUAUUAAAAAUACUCUCUCAGGUGAUUUAAAAAAAUAUUAAGUUGCUUAAAGAAUUUUAAAUAAAAAAUAAAUAAUUUUUAAAUAAUACUCUCUUUUGAUGAGAUAUUAAAUAAAAAGUCAGGAACGAAGAAACUAUAUCAUUCAGAAUUUUUAAAAUUUCCAAGAAAGUGCAUUAAUAAUAAAAUUUGCAAAGAUAUUUCACCCCUACAUAAGAUAUGGUGUUGAGUAAUCUCUCAAUUUCAUUAACAAAUAAAUAUUGCAGUAUUCUACUUGAUCGAAAAUGAAAUAAAAUAAAAAGGAGACUUAUAAUUGUUCAUGAUUUUUUUUUUUUUUUUUUUAAUAUUCUUCAUGAAAUGUAUGUUGCUUUGAGGACUUAUAAUUGUUGUCCAUUCUUGCAGCUAUGACUAUGUCAUUUCGCAACCUACAUGAACUUGAUGUUUCCAAGAUAAAUAUAGGAUUCUACUUCACCUCUCUUUCUCUCCAAAAUGUCCUUCAACCCUUCAAGAUGAGAGUGGUCAUCACUGAUACCCUGGAACAUGAGAACUCAGAUUCAGAGUACGAAAGGCGGACUGAAGUUGAUAUCAUCUCUACCGUACAGACAUUCUCGACCCUGGACCAUGUGAUUUCCCAUGUUUUCGAAAAACUAGAGUCAUGUGGCCUACCCCCACGUAACAUCACCGCCGUAGUAGCGGCUCAUAGUUUUGGGGCUGCUAAAGCUCUUCGUGCUAUGGGUGGUGGUGUCUACCCAAAGUGCAUGUGCUCGGGUGAUAUUGGUGUUUGAAGUAAACCUCGAACCCGAAGAAGCGAAAAUUGAGAGGCUUGCUGACUCAAUUUGUAAAGAUUUUGAGGAAAUGAACAAAGCCUCGAUUGACGAUGUAGAGAUUUACGACGCAGAGUACAAUGAUGAGGUUACAGAUAUUCAUGAGACAGGUGAGAAUGGUGGGGUUGUGGAUGAUGAGGAUACAGAGAUUCAUGAGGCCAGUGAGAAUAGUGGGGAUAUGCAGAUUGAAGAGGAUGAGGAGGAUGUAGUCAUUCACGAGGCAGCGGGGAUGUUGAGGAUUUCGAGAUUUCAAACAAUAAUGAGGGUGCGCUGAAUUGGGAUGAAGAUGAAGAUUACGAUGUUUGGGAGGCAGAUGAUAUCCCUGAAGAUGAUGACGAGGUUACAGUGAUUCACGGGGUAGGUGGGGAUGUUGAGGAUUUCGAUAUUUCAAAUGAUCAUGGAAGUGUGCCGAUGUGGGAGGGAGAUGAGUAUUAGGACGUUAGGGAGGCAGAUGUUAUCCUGGAGAGGAUUACUACAUUUGAGAGGCGGAUGAUAUCCCUACAACACCCACUGAUGAUAUCCCUACAACACCAGCUGUGAGAUACGAAGUUAACUCGUUGACGCAGGUGAAGAUAGUAGAUGAAGAGGGCUACUGCGACACUAUAUGUAUGUCAGAGCUUAGUGCAGAUGAUGAUGACUUAAGGGCGAUGCCCUGUGGCCAUUUCUACUACGAAGAUUGUAUAUUCAAAUAGCUUGAGGGAAGAGAUUCAUGCCUAUGGUGCCGGCAUAGAGUAUAGAAUUAAAUUGCUUUUUUUUUUUUUUCUUCUCACAUAAAUCAUCCAUUACUUAUAUGGGGAUAAAUGUAUACAACUCUAUUUAUGUCCCUUUAUAGCGACCUCAGUUUUUGUAUUAGAAUGUACAUCUAAAUAUCAAUACAUAAUGUCAAUAUUCUCUAUAAAAAAUAUAACGAAAUUGAGUUCUUCUUGUGCUUGCAUAUUUUUUAAGGUAUUUUAUAAAAUUCUUUGUGUUUCAAAGUCAUUAGUUUUCGAGGUUGUGGGUUUUGGACAAUCAACAGUUAAUCAGUUUCGGUUCAAACUUCAUUCUAAAUGAUGCUUUGGUCUAUAUGAUCAUAAAUUAAUGACAAGGCCUAUUUAGUCAAAAUCUAAAACCAAAAGCUCACAUUAACAACACAAAAAGGCAUGGUAUCACUAUAGCAAGUUUAACACUUAGAAAAAUUGGUUGAUACCAAAAAACUUUUUGAACUUUUAGCAUCUUAAGUAACAUUUAGAAUUCCACUCAAAAAAUAAAAUUCCAUUUUGGGGCCAAAAGGUCUAGGCGACACUAGCAGUGUCACCUAAGUCUGAGUGACACUUCUCGUGUCGCCUAGUCUGGGCUGGACGACACUGCUAGUGUCGCCCAAACCAAAAGUAGUCCAAAUUGUUUUUUUUUUUCUUUUCAGGUGUCUUCCUCAGCCUCUUGUGAAGCUCUCAAAUAAAAUUUUGGUCAAAACAAAUUUUUUUUACUAUUUCUAAUGAUUGUUUUAGUAAAACAGGGCAUCUGUAGGAUUCUGGGUCAAAACAGGGUUUCUGCAGGAUUCCUGGUAGGCAGAUUGGUUCUGGGUCACAGGGUAGGCUAUGUGAACUAUGGAUUUGGGUUUACUAGGAUAAGUGUGGUCCUAAGGGUUCAGGAAACUACAGAAUUUUUCAGAUUUAAAAUGGGGUGUCUACAAGUUUCCAUAGUUUCAAGCUUGUGUUAAUGCAUGUUUCCUUACCCAAUUAAAAUGUGAAAGUCGAAUGUGGGUGCAUGCUACUAAAUUUCUGUUAGAGUGUAUUCUGAUUUCCAGAAGUGUGGUCCAUGUUUGAGAGAUUGUUAGGGUACCUUAGACCCCACCUUAGACCUUGAAUUUUGGUGGGUCAAAGUAUAUUGAAUGUAUUUCUACAUGGAAAAUACCCCUUAUUAAUAUCUAAUUUAUUUUGAGGGUUAUUAACUAUUUACUGAAGUAUGUUAGAUCUGUGAAAUGAAAUUCCAAGGAUUUAACAUGUUUUCGUGUGAAGCUUUUAACUUACGAAAAUGUAUUGUAACGAGAUAAAACCACUUCAAAAUGUUACAUAGAUGAGUCUAGCUUAAAAUUGGUUUUGGACUCAUAAUAAAAUUCUUUAUGGUUUGAUAGUUAUGGUCACCUUGAAUUUUUUGCUACGCAAAACAUAAAUUUCAUCUGAGAACAUCAAAUAGUUUGACAAAUGUUAGAUCAAUAUUUGGAAUUACUUCCUAUAUGGAAGUUGUACUUUUAUGAGUCUAGAUUGUCAUAAAAUUGGUUAUAGGAUUAAAUGAUCUUUAUAUUUAAUGAUAUACCCUUAAAGUUGGAUAAUGUUUAUCUUGGAAAACUAGAAAUAUGACAGAGUGAUGUCUAUCGCAUUGACAUAUGGCAUGAUAUUGACAUAAAAAUGUAUCUAGAAUUGAUAAGCAUGAUAAUAUGACAUAAUGAUGUUUAUUACAUUGAAAUACAGCAUGCUAUCGACAUGAUAAUGUCUUUUGAGCAGAUAAGCAUGAUAAUAUGACAUAGUGAUGGUUCUUAUUAUUAUAUGUAUAGCAUGCUCUAAACAUGUUGAUAUUUUUGUGAUUAUAUGUAUGAUGUGCUUCUGAUAAGAUAUGUGUGCAUGGAAACAUGCUUUUGAUAAGAUAUAUGUGUAUAGAAACAUGCUUCUGAUAAGAUUGCUGUGCAUGGCAACAUGUUUCUGAUAAGAUACGUGUGCAUGGUAACAUGCUUCCGAUAUGACAUGCGUGCAUGGUAACCUGCUUCUGAUAUGAUAUGUGUGUAUGGUAACAUGCUUCUUAUAUGAUAUGUGUGCAUGAAAACAUGCUUCUAAUAAGAUAUGUGUGCAAGACAACAUGCUUCUGAGAAGAUAUGUGUGCAUGGUAACAUGCUUCUGAUAUGAUCUGUGUGCAUGAUAACAUGCUUCUGAUAAGAUAUGUGUGCAUGGAAACAUACUUUUGAUAAGAUAUGUGUGCAUGGUAACAUGCUUCUGAUAAGAUAUGUGCGCAUGGUAACAUUCUUCUGAUAAGAUAUGGGCGCAUGGAGACAUGCCCCUGUUAUGAUAUGAUGAGAUAUUUGUGCCAGCAGCUGUGAUGUUUUCCUUAACUCUCUAUGAUAGGAUGAGAGUUAGGAGUGUCCGUGUUUGGGUGGUUUCUCCCCCCAAAAUUUUGUGAGGCACUACUCAUUGGGACCCAUUUGGUAGUGUAACGCUCUCUCGCCAGAAUGGCACAUGAGAGGGCCGUGUCUUACAAAGCCAGUGCCUAUCAAAAGCCCCAAAGUGCGCUAGGGACCGUGUGUAUAUGUUAGGCACUACGUAAUGGAUUUACCCAUUGGUCGUGCUUCCCUCCUAGUUGUGAUUGUAGAAGCUCUAGGCACCAGGAUUUGGUUGGCCUGAUGGGUGGGCCUUCUACUUCAAGAGUUAGUUAAUAUUUCUUGAUCUUGAUUUUGCUUGUUACAUACAUAUUUGAAUUGAUUUGAUUUAGUUCUUGUUACAAUCAUAUCUGAUUAAUAUGAUUUGUUAUUACUCCACCAUGAAACAAAUCAUGAACGACACGUUUGUUUAAAUGUGAAUUUGACACAUGACUCUAUGUUUCAUAGGAUUUAUAUGAAACGCUGAUUAUUGUCAUGAUAUAAUAUUUGUAAGCAUGAUAGCAUGACACCUAGAUCUAUUCACUGGGAUUUAUAGCUCACUCUUUUAAGUUUUUCCUCCAUGUAGAGCGAUAGCCAGUGUGUUUGGAGUGGCAUGUCCUGGUGGUCGUGCAUGAGGGUCCCUCACUCCCCUUUUGUUGAAGCUCCCUUUUAGAAUAUGCGUUUUCGUUGGCAGCCUGGCUAUAUAGUCCUUUCUAACUUGGUAUAUGUCUUGAUGUUGGGUCUUUUGUGCCUUGAACCUAUAUGUACUAUUUUAAACUGUUAUAUGUAUUUUGGGACUUCUUUGUCCAACAGACUAUGGUUACGUGUGUUGUGUUUAUCUUUUCAUUUCUUUUGUGGUUAACUUUGAAACAAAAAAUUCUGUCUUUACAAAGUGUUGAGAGCACUCCAACCCUGGCACUCACUACCUGUGAUUGUGACCCCAUUCCCUAUUGUCCUCCGGCAGACCUGGGCUUAGCCCUUUGCGGGUCGGGCAGGGAUGGUAGGGAGUGGGGUCAUGACAAGUAAACCCAUAGCUUCGUGGCUAUGUAUACCUGAAGCUUUCACUUUUAUUCAUGAUGAUCCUCAUUGGAUGCUCAUCAUGCCCCAUUUUUCUCUUUUUUAAGAGAAAACCUCCUCCCUGAUGAUGAAUACAAUAGAGGGGUUAUAACUGUACAAAGCUCACUGAGGCAAUAUAUACCAAGAGUGAGGCUUUUAUUAGGAAGGUGAACACCACUAGAGAGGUUCUAUGUUUCUAAAAGGUGAUGAAUGAUUCACACUUGUUGGGUAUAGGGGUUUUAGGUGGCCCAAUAGAUAAGUGAUGCAUGAAAACCCCCUAGGGAUAAAAAUGUGUUUCCAAGGUAAAGAAAUGGUUACCUCCCUGAGGAUUGAAAGGCUCCCUCGAGUGAUGAAAGUAUAACCUAUUCUAAAGAUUGGUUAUAAUGUACUCACACCACUGGGGGGUAUUGACUCACUGAGGAUAAUGACCUAUCACUGACCAAUGGAGUGAUAGACCAUUGGGGGUAAUUGACCACUAGGGUGAUGGUCUAAUGAAAGAAGCGAUCCAUUGGGGGUGAUGCUCCAUUGGGGAUGAUGACCCUUUGGAAGCAGUGAUCCACUCGGGAUAAUGAAUCAUUAGGGCUCCCUAUCACUCUUCGAGCAUGGUAUUACUCAUGGGGUCUCAUGAAGGCUCAAUGAGUAGGGUAUAGUUGGUGUGGCUCCAUGGGGAUAAUCGAGUUAUGAAGUGAAAUCCAAGUAAAGGGAUUGCUAUGAUAGUUUCUGAUAAGGUUUAAGCUGGUGAAUGGGAUUUCAAUGAAAGGGGUAAUUUCUGACUCAUGGUGAUGAUAGAUCAAACCGAACGGGUAAUUGGGACUCCCAUGGUUUUCAUGAGUCAUUAAGGUCUUUUAGUGGAAGUCAUGAUUUCUUGUGAACCUUGCAUCAACCAAAUGAUAGGUUUUUUCCUACAAUUUUGAUGUUUUUAGGCAUAGGUGUAUCUCCAGUCAUGUUUGAUAAUGCUAGAGGCAAGAAUAGCCUUAUAUAACAAUGGUCAAUAUAUUUCCAUUGGGAAUCAAGCACAUUAAGGAUGUGUCUUCGUUGGGGCAUUAAGUUCACUAAGAAUAAAAAUAUCUUUAGAGUCCAUCAAAAGUAAGUAGACUAAACCCAAGGUUAUAUUGGGUUAAUAGGUUCAUGGUUUGAAGAUGGGUUUGAAAAGGGGGCUAUUGAGUUUAGUGUUUUGGGCUGCACAUAGCUCAGGGUUAUCCACUAGGGGGUUAGUGUGUGUAGGCGGAACAAGAAGCGUGGCUCUUUUGCUCACCCUAUGUCAAAUGUGCAUAAGUGUGUGUUGGGCUCAUGGUUAAACCAUGGGCUUGUGAGAAUUAGUCGAUAAAUGAGAGAGAAGUGAAGUGAAAGAAAAAAGAGAGUAAAGGCGAGUGGAACUGACGGGUGCGGGUUUUUUUUUUGGAUGCAAGAGAGAGAAGAGAGUGACAGACAAUGUGAGGAAUGUGAUGGACCUGCCUUUGGCACGAGUCCAUGCAUCAUUGACGUGACAGAAGAAGAUGGAGGUAAAGAGGGACGGACACGCCCUAAGUGCAGAUCCAUAUGUUUAGGUGGACAAGAUAGGGAAGGGGUCAAAGGCGAAAGAUGACGGACCUGCCCUAGGCGUGGGUCUUUGUGUUAAGGUGGAAAAACGAGAGAAGAGGUUACAGAUGAAAGAUGACGGACCAGCCCUAGGCACGGGUCCGUAUAUUUAGUUUAACAAGAGAGAGAAGUGGUUAAAGAUGAAAAAUGACGGACCUGCCUUAAGCGGUAUAUUUAGUUUGGCAAGAUGGAGAAGAGGCCAAAAACGAAAGAUGAAGGACCCUCCCUAGGCAUGGGUCCGUAUAUUUAGUUUGACAAGAGAAAGAAGAGGUUAAAUACGAAAGACGACAGACCUGCCCUAGUGGGUCCAUAUAUUUAGUUUGACAGGAGAGAGAAGAGAUUAAAGAUGAAAGAUAACAGACCCUCCUAGGCACGGGUCCAUACAUUUAGAUGGCUGAAAGAGAGAAGCGAAUGAGGACGGGGGGUGACAGACCCUCCCUUGGCGCGAGUCAGUGUGUUUUCUGGUGGACGAGAGAGAGAAGUGGAAGAAUGAGAGAGGAAGAGAGACGGGUCUACCCUAGGCACGGACCCGUGUGCCUUUGACAGGCAUUCAUCCAAGGCUAAUAAGGGGUGCACUUCCACCCAUUUUCCAUUGCCUCUUUUGUUCUUCUUAGAGAGAUAUAGUGAAAGUGAUCCUUCCUUGGAGUGAAACAAGUAAAUUUUUGAAGACUUCUUGGAGAUUAUGGUUAGCUCCUCUAAUCCUCAAGGUAACCUCCUCUUGUCUUUUUCUUCUCUCUUUAUGCCUUUCAUGAUUAUUUUUCUCUUCCACUUCUUCUUACCUCUCCUUUUGCACACCACAUGUUUGAUCGAAUGCUUGAAUUCCUCUUUCUAGUGUAACAUUAACAACUUGAUUAUCUUUUGAGCAUUCCUUGAUCAUGUCUAGUGCAACUUGCAUCUUUUUUCAUCAUUUCAAGUUUUCUUAGUGCAUCUUGUAUCAACCUUGAGCAUCACAAAUAUGUCUUAAGCAUCCCGAACCCCUCGGUCAUGCUUAUCAUCAGUCAACACCAUGAUCAUUCCGAGAGCUCCUCGACCAGUUCAUGAGCAUAUUCGAGCUAUGAGAAUAAACAACAUGUUUAGGCAUUAUGAACACAUUGAGAUCAUUACAAAGCAUUGCCUUGCAUCAUAUGGAUAAUGGCUGAUCGUCAGCCUUUUGAGCUUCAUGAACUUGACAAAAUAUAUUCAUCAUGAAUAUCUUUUUGUGCAUGUGUGAGUUUUACGAACUUCCCUGAGCAUUAUUCACGCGUGCAAGCGUUAUGAACUCACUUAGGCUUCCCAAAAAUUGCUUUCCAAUUUUGUAAUGAACUGCUGGUCAUCACUAGGUACCCUAUUGAAUGUCAUGAUCUUUAGAGCCAUUGCUUAGACUAACAUGAGCGUACUUUUGAGCUGCACAGAUGUCGCACUUCAAACACACCUAGAGGCCAAAACAUAUUUUCUGAGCACCAUAUGAUUGCACUCUUGAUCGUCAUGGAUUUGUUCUUGAUCAUAGUCAAUGUCUCUGAGCAUAUUGACUUCACUUUCACUGAGCACUCUAAAGAAACAUUUUUCUUUAGUACUCCAAUAUUUCUUGAAUGUUCUCAAAUAUUUCUUGAACAUUUCCAAAGAUUUUUUUGUGCAUCCCAAAUAUAUUCUUGAAAAUAUUCCCCAAAUGUGCUCUUUCAAGCACUUUGAAUGUCACGAAUAUUAUCGUGAAGACCAUCCUAAAGAGAAUUGUAAUGUAAUUUUCUUUCACAUUCUCAUAUGCUUUUAUGCACACCUUAGCAUCAAAAGCAUCUUUGUAGCAUUUUCAUGCACCCCUUGUAUUUCAAGUGCAUUUUUGCAUCAAAACCUGACGUUUUCAGCGCCUCCACUGCAUAGCUAUAUAUUUCAAAAUUUCAUUGAGAGCUUAUGAGCACUAUUUAUGCAUUUUUUGAUGUAGUUGAUCAUAGUUAAACAUAGUUAUGCACCGUAAUGCAUCUUUUGAGCACUUCCAUUCAUAGUUAUGUAGUUAUGGCCAUUCUUAUGCAUUUCUAAGAAUUUUCAUGCAUUUUUUACCAUUCUUGGGUACUCUUAUGAUAGAAACAAGCACUCUUCAAGGUUACUUUUUUGGACUAACCAAACCCCUUCCUUGUCAACCCACUACAUAUAGGGCAAAUGUUGUCGAAGUUAUGCAAAAUUCAGGAUUCUUUUCUCUUCCUAUGAAUUGUCAUUUUGCUCAACUGCUCACUUCUUUCUUUUGUGCUUCUUCUGCAGUGAGUAUUCUUGAAGUGAACCAAUUACCGCGCCUUGGAGAAUUGGGCACUAAUGCAUACACAGGUGCUUCUUUUACAAGGUCUACAACUCUUGGUGUUCUUGAGACUACUCAAAAGCUGGGGUGGUCCUUAAGUAUCACCUACAUAUGUGAAGAUGCUCAGUUUUCCGUUAUGACGAUGCAAAUGGCGAGCCCGUGAUUCAGGGAUAUGGUGUACCAAUGUACCGUGCUCUUCACAGGAAUUUUGAUUCAAGUGAUGAUCUCCCUACACAAAGAGAAUGUUGAAGAAGAAGGGUCUUCAUUGGGAAUCUAGUAGGCUCUGCAUUGAGGGGGAGGACCAAUACAUCCGGGUAUAUAGCACAUGGAUGUUUGAUGUCCUCCAGUCACAUGCCAAGGACUUAGAAGCAUGCCACUUAACUGCAGCAUGUCAGUGUUCAGUUGGUUACUAUAAUAGGUGCUCAAACACCAUCAGAGCUUUAUUGGAAACCUGGUCCUACAAGAUUAACAACUGACACCUUGACCACCGCGAAGGAGGAAUCACCCUCCUUAAUAUGUACUUCAAUAGUGGACUGCCCAUGUUGGUGACCAUGAAGUAAUUUUUUGGAAUUAUCCCAUCAAUGGUGAAAACCCUCCUCCAGGUCUUCGUGAAUUGUUUGAAAUUUAUCAACUUCUUCAUUCAGAGACCAAGACCAAAUCCAAGAUAGUGCAUUUUAAUGCAUGGAGAGACUUCUUUCAUGGGAACCGUCAGGGCAAAGGAGAACCCAAUUUCAGUGCCAUCUGAGUUGAUGACUAACAAGGGUUAGAAGAAGAAGAAGAGACCAAGGGCCCAGUGAUCCCUCCCAAGAGAUCUGAAAAAGAUCAUGUAUACUUGGCUGCAUUCCUCACUCUUUUCUUGUGCAAAUUUCCCCUCCCAGGGUCAAGAAGUAAUGUUAUCUGUCUUGGUUGCUUCUUUGUAUCUUGCAGGCUUAUUCAAGGGCAUCAAUAUGACCUAGCUCAACCAGUCCUCUAUAGCAUAUACCACGGCUUAGAAGCAAUCACACAUGGAUAAGAUUAUUCAAAAGAUAGCAACAGUGAGUAUUUUAAGGGAGAAGUCUUUCCUGAUAGUUCACAAUAGGCUUCGUUGUCCAUUAUAUUUUUGGCUGGCUUCCAGCAUACUUCCCCAAGAAGGAGUCUGAUCCCUAUAACCCUGGAGCAUACGAGAUCAAUGAAGAACUUUCGGGGUAUACUUGCCCUCAAAUGCUAAGGAUUGCUGGAAUGAAGGCCAUAAUUAGAGGAGAAAGUGAGGCAUGUCGAUUCUCAGUGGACAACUCUUUCUUUUCUCGUGGGAGUCCAUUUUCUAUAGGUGGCCCUACUGGCUGGGUUUGCACUGAUGCUUUUGGUGAUCUUUUUUAUGGAUACACCACUGAGACCAAAGAGGCCAUAUACCUCCUAAGUGUUAGGGGAUGCAUCUUUCCUUACAGGGGUGUUGGAGACGAGAAGCUAUUUUCCCCACAGGUUUGCACACCAGCAUGGCUUAGACAAAGGGUGUUCCUUCUUAGUGCUUUUUUAGAAGAAAUAUGAGAAGAAAGAUGUAGUCAAUGGAAUAUCAAUGGAAUAUCACCAACCAUUCUUACUGGCAGGACACCCGUUCAUGGAAGGCCAUCAAUUGCACCAAACAUGAUACGAGGCAUGGCAAGCAUUUUGUGUGUCCAAUCUUCUUUAAGGUUUAUGAACUUGAUUACCCCUUGAAUUGGAAAGGACUUGGAAUACCUUGAUCUCUAGCCAUACACCAUAUCAGCAUCCAAUAUCUUUCCCUUUCCCUUGAAGGUGAAACUAGGUCUUCAUUUGCUAACCUUUAUUCGAUCUUAUUCAAGACAUAAAUGCUUUAAUAGGGAGUGGGUCUCAUUCUACUCCAGCUGCUAGAUCUCGCCAUGGUCAAAAAACCAAGAGUGCCUCUUCAAAAGAUGAAGUAACUCUAAAGGACAAGGUCACAAAGAAAGGGACAAAGAAGAAGAAGGACGCAGAUGGUUAGAUGCCUCAAUCUCUCCCCUGGGUCGGGAUGGCCUGGUGGCACCUGUCUUUGGUUACAAAGAGAACUCGAGACUUGAGACCGCUUUCUCGAGAACCUUGUUAAGAAAGAAAGGCAGGUACACCAACCUGUGAGAGAGGAAUUUGAUGUGAGACGAGACACACCUCACCUGGGUCCGUGACUCACUCGGGCAAACUCGUGCUGACGCCCUCUUAGAUCACAGCGAAAGGACUUCUAGUCCUACAACUAGUUCGAAAUCGCUUCCCUUGACCUGUACUCUCCUGUUUCUACGAUCUACACACAUGGUUAUUUUAUAUGACAAGUGGGCCAAAGGACCCCACCUUGUGUUUGGGUGAAUGCACACAUGUGUGCACAUUUAAAGAAGAAUGGAAUGAAGAAUGAGAUGAAGAUUGGGGUGAUAAAAAGAAAAUGAAGAAGUAGAAUAGAGGAAAGAAAAGAGAAGAAAGAAAAAUUUGACCAAGUGGUUAGACUGACACAGUGGCUAGACUAGUAUAGUGACUAAUUUUGUGUGGUAGCAAGACGGGCACAGUGGCUUAACUACUUGACCACAAAACCAACCCCAACCAGCUUGGCACGAUAGCUAGUCUGACAUGGCAGCAAGAUGGGCACGGUAAUUCAGACUGACACUGCGGCUAAACUGCUCGAUGACAAGGCUACCAUGGUAGUGCUAGACUUAGCCUGUCUCUCGAUCAAAGGAGAGAGGAAGAAGAAAGAAAAGAGAGAGGCAUGAAAGAGAGGGAAAAAUGAAAAUAGACGAAGGUGUGAGAGAAUAAUAGUGAGAGAGAAGAAGAAAGAGAAGCAGAGAGAGAAAGUGAGAAAGGAGAAGAGAGAUAGAAGAAGAAAGAAGGAGAAGAUAAAAGAAAAGAGAGAGAAGAGAGAUAAGAGAGAAGAAAGAAAAGAAAGAAGAGGAAAAGUGGAGAGAUAAGAGAGAAGAAGAAGGGAGAGAAAAGAAGAAGGAUUAAGAGAGAAGACAGAAGAGAGAAGAGAAGAAAUGAAGAGAAGAAAGAAGAGAAGAUAAGGGAAGAAAAAAGAGAACAGGAAGAAGAGAAGAAGAUAAGAGAAGAGGAAUGGAGAAGAAGAAAAAGAAGAGAAGAGAAGAUGUGAGAGAAGAAGAAGAAGAAGAAGAUAAGAAGAGAAGACAGAAGUGAUAGAAGAGAGAAGAAGGAAGAGAGAGAAGAGAGGAAAGAAGAGAAAAAAAAGAAGAAAAAAAAGAGAAGAAAGAAGAAAGAAGAAAGAGAAGAGAGGAAAGAAGAGAGAAGAAAGAAAAGAGAAGAGAGAAGAAAGAAGAGAGAGGCGAGAGGAAAGAAGAGAAAAUAAAGAAGAGAGAAGAAGAGAAGAAGAAGAGGAGAAGAAGAGGACAAGAGAAGAGAGAAGAAGAAAAAGAGAAAAAGAGAGGAGAAGAGAAGAGGAGAGAGAAGAAAAAAGGAGAGAGAGAAGUGAAAAGGAGAAUAUAGGAUAGAAGAAGAAGAGAAGAGAGAGUAGAAGAGAAGGGAAGAGAAAAGGAAGAGAGAGAGAGGGAAAAAAAAAGGAGAAGAGAAGAGAGAGGAAGAAGAAGAGAAGAGAGAAGAGAAUAGAAGGGAAGAGAAGAAUAGAGGGCAAAGAAGAGGAGAGAGAGAGGAGAAAAGGAGAAGAGAAGAAAGAAGAAGAAGAAGAGAAGAGAGAAGAUAAGGGAAGAGAAGAAGAGAAAAAGUGGAAAGAUUGGAGAGAGGAGGGAACAGGAAGUAUGAGAGAGAAAGAGAAGAGUAGGGGGAGACGAAAGAGAGAUGAGGAAGAACAGAAAAGAUGAGAAGAGAGAGAAAAGGGAGAAGAAAGAGAGGAAAAUCAGGGGAGAGAUGAGGGAUAUGUCAUGGAUGGCGGUGGUCAUUGCCGUUCAUGACAUAAGGGAGAGGAAGUAGGUAUCAUGGACGACAAUGGGCUCUGCCAUCCAUGACGGAGAGGAGAGAAAGAAGAAAGGAGCAUGAACGGCGAUGAGCUUCACUAUCAAUGAUAGAGGAGAGAGAAAGGUGGAAACAAAAAAGAAACGUGGAUGGCGAUGGGCUUCGCUGUCCAUGAGAGAAGGGAGGACGAGAGAAGGGAAGAAGAAACAUGGACGGCAUUGGGUUGCAUCGUCCAUGACAAGAGAGAGUGUAAGAGAGAAUAUAGACGGUGAUGGAUUCUAUCAUCCAUGACAGGAGAGAGAAAGGGAGAACAUGGAUUGUGAUGGGUUCCACAGUCCAUGAUAAGAGGAAGAGAGACAAGAGAGAGAAAAGAAAAGGCACGCAUGACAAUAGACAUCGUCGUGCAUGUCAAAAGAGUCUCAGACACAACCUGACCUGCCACUUGGGAAAGGUCUCGAUUCAAUAUCCUUAUCAGAGAAUAGGGGAAUAAAUGUCGUGCGUAGCGGUGAGCUUCGUUGUGCACAACAUGGGGAAAGUGGAAUAUAGACAGAGACCUGACUAGUCACUCGAGUUAAGACUUGGCUCACUGUGCAUAUUCCAAAAGAAGGAGGAUGUCAUGCUCGGCAAUGGGCACCACCGUGCAUGAUUAGGGAGGAGAGAAAAAGGAAAGAAUAGAGAGAGAAAAGGAAAGAUAGAGAGAGAAAAGGAGAGAUAGAGGAGAGAGAGAAGGAGAGGGAAGAAAGAAAAGUGCAGAAAGAGAUCAAGAAAGAGAGUAGAGCAAGAAGAGGGGAAAGUAGAGAAGGAAGGAAAGGGGAGACAUAAGAUUAGGAAAGAUGGGGAAUGAAAGAGGAAAGAGAGCAGAGAGCAAAGAGGAAAGAAGGGAAAGAGAGACAUGCACGGUAGUGCCUACGACCAUGUAUGUCGCAAGAGAAGAAAGAGGCAAACAAGAGGGAGAGAGACAAUAACAAAGGAAGAGAAAAGGAGACAUGCACGACGAUGCUUAUUGUCAUGUAUGUUUGAGGUAAAGAAGAGAGAGACGGAGAGAAGAAUAAGAAGAGAUAGAGAUAGAGAAGAGGAGAGAGAAAGAAAUAAGAAGAGAGAAAGAAGAAGAGAGAAGAGAGGAGAGAGACAUGCAUGAUGAUACUUACUGUUGUUUAUGUUUGAGAUAGAAAAGAGAGAGAUAAAGAGAAGAGGAGAGAAAGAGGGAGGAGAGAAGAAAGAGGAGAGAGAAUAGAGGAGAUAUAAAAUUACCUUCACCUAGGGAUACCAGAUCUUUUACUCUCUCUUCUCUCUUUCUCUCCAAG
rnacentral:lncRNA from 1 species